rnacentral:rRNA from 1 species
GACGGAGGAUGCAAGCGUUAUCCGGAAUGAUUGGGCGUAAAGCGUCCGCAGGUGGCAGUUCAAGUCUGCUGUCAAAGACCGGGGCUUAACUUCGGAAAGGCAGUGGAAACUGAACAGCUAGAGUAUGGUAGGGGCAGAGGGAAUUCCUGGUGUAGCGGUGAAAUGCGUAGAGAUCAGGAAGAACAUCGGUGGCGAAGGCGGUUCUCUGGGACGGUACUGACGCUGAGACGCGAAAGCGUGGGGAGCGAACAGG